AAGUUCAACCGAACCGAUAAUUCAGAGGAAUUUUCUACUCCUCUCUCUCUCUCUCUCUCUCUUAUUUUUUUGUUUGUUCUGGGAAAAUGUGGUUGCUUUCGUCUUCUUCUUCUUCUUCAUGGCUCUCUGAGCUCUCCUGUUCAUCGUCGGCGGUUAUAGAACCUACAUCAUCUUCAGUCCCAGUAGCAAUCCAAUGGCUCAGAUUUCUUUUACUCUCUCCUUGCCCCCAACGUGCUCUCUUCUCCGCCGUUGAUUUUAUUUUCCUCCUCGUCCUCCUCUGCUUCGCUCUUCUCAAGCUCUUCUUUUCUUCUUCUUCUUCCGAUGAAAUCAACGGAAACGCUGAGAUUAGGAAACCUCUUAUCGGAAUCCGUGGAAGAACCCCAACCAGAACAACCGCCUGGUUCAAAACGACUGUCGUAGUCACCCUUCUAUUGUCGUUUUGCUCUGUCGUGCUCUGCGUUUUGGCCUUCACUGGCAAGCGACGGACUCAGAGACCAUGGAACCUCAUAGACCCGCUCUUUUGGCUUAUUCACGCCGUCACACACGUCGCCGUCGCCGUUCUCGUCCUCCACGAGAAGAGAUUCGCUGCUCUAAAUCAUCCCUUAUCUCUACGAAUCUACUGGAUUUCGAGUUUUGUCCUCACCACUCUCUUCGCCGUCUCUGGGAUUUUCCAUUUUCUCUCCGACGCCGCCGCCACGAGUCUGAUUGCAGAAGACGUCGCUUCAUUCUUCUCCUUCCCGUUAACCGCCUUUCUGCUCAUCGCCUCCGUCAGAGGAAUCACCGGCCUUGUCACAACGGAGACCAACAGUCCUACGAAACCAUCCGACGCCGUUUCGGAGGAGGACAACGUCUCUCUCUACGCAUCUGCUUCGGCUUUCUCCAAAAUGUUCUGGUUAUGGAUGAAUCCUUUACUCAGCAAAGGCUACAAAUCUCCAUUGACGCUCGAAGAGGUUCCGACGCUCUCUCCGGAGCACAAAGCAGAGAGGCUCGCGCGUCUCUUCGAAUCGAGUUGGCCCAAACCGUCGGAGAAUUCGAGCCACCCAGUCCGUACGACUCUACUCCGAUGUUUCUGGAAGGAGAUCCUCUACACGGCGAUUCUUGCCAUCGUCCGUCUCGGUGUCAUGUACGUUGGUCCCGUUCUCAUCCAGAGCUUCGUCGAUUUCACCUCCGGCAAGAGAUCCUCGUCGUGGCAAGGUUAUUACCUCGUCCUCAUCCUCCUUGUUGCGAAAUUCGUCGAGGUCUUGACGACUCAUCAGUUCAAUUUCGAUUCCCAGAAGCUUGGGAUGCUUAUAAGGUCAACUCUAAUCACUGCACUCUACAAGAAAGGUUUAAAGCUCACCGGCUCUGCGCGUCAGAACCACGGCGUUGGGCAAAUCGUGAAUUACAUGGCCGUAGACGCGCAACAGCUCUCUGACAUGAUGCUUCAGCUCCACGCAAUCUGGCUCAUGCCUUUGCAAGUCACUGUUGCACUCGUGCUUCUUUACGGAAGCCUAGGCGCGUCUGUUAUAACUGCGGUUAUUGGGCUGACCGGAGUGUUCGUCUUCAUCCUCCUGGGGACUCAGAGAAACAACGGAUACCAAUUCAGCUUGAUGGGGAACCGAGAUUCUCGGAUGAAGGCCACCAACGAGAUGCUCAAUUACAUGCGAGUCAUCAAGUUUCAGGCUUGGGAGAAUCAUUUUAACAAGAGGAUCCUCAAAUUUAGGGACAUGGAGUUUGGUUGGCUAUCCAAGUUUCUCUACUCCAUUGCUGCCAACAUCAUUGUCCUCUGGAGCACGCCAGUGCUUAUCUCUGCGCUCACAUUCGCCACCGCCCUUGCCUUGGGAGUCAAGCUUGAUGCUGGGACUGUGUUCACCACCACAACUAUCUUCAAGAUCUUGCAAGAACCCAUCAGGACGUUUCCUCAAUCUAUGAUAUCUCUCUCGCAGGCAAUGAUCUCUCUAGGGAGACUGGACUCAUACAUGAUGAGCAAAGAGCUGUCCGGAGAUGCUGUGGAGAGAGCCCUGGGUUGUGAUGGUAGUACUGCCGUAGAGGUCAGAGAUGGAAGCUUUAGUUGGGAUGAUGAGGACAACGAACCUGCUCUCAGUGAUAUCAACUUUAAGGUUAAAAAAGGGGAACUCACUGCGAUAGUUGGAACUGUUGGUUCAGGGAAAUCUUCCCUGUUAGCUUCGGUUCUCGGCGAAAUGCACAGAAUCUCAGGCCAGGUGAGGGUUUGUGGGAGCACAGGCUAUGUAGCGCAGACAUCGUGGAUCGAAAACGGGACGGUUCAAGACAACAUCUUGUUUGGUCUUCCAAUGGUUAGAGAAAAGUACACCAAAGUUCUCAAUGUCUGUUGUCUUGAUAAAGACCUACAAAUGAUGGAGUUUGGGGAUCAGACUGAGAUUGGAGAACGUGGAAUCAACCUCAGCGGAGGGCAGAAGCAGCGUAUACAGCUCGCACGCGCGGUCUAUCAGGAAUGCGAUGUAUACUUGCUGGACGAUGUUUUUAGCGCUGUGGAUGCUCAUACCGGUUCAGAUAUAUUCAAGAAAUGUGUAAGAGGAGCUCUGAAAGGCAAGACCAUAUUGCUCGUAACCCAUCAAGUGGAUUUCUUGCACAACGUCGAUUGCAUCUUGGUGAUGCGGGAUGGAAGGAUUGUUGAAUCAGGAAAAUACGAUGAAUUAGUCAGCUCCGGGUUGGAUUUUGGGGAACUCGUGGCUGCACAUGAGACAUCAAUGGAGCUAGUUGAAGCCGGUGCAGACUCUGCAGCAGCAGCAACAAUCGCGACAUCCCCAAGAACACCAAUGUCUCCCCAUGCAAGCUCUCCUAGAAUGUCAAUGGACUCUCCUCACUUAAGUGAUCUAAACGAUGAACAUGUCAAGUCAUUUCUCGGUUCUCACGCCGUAGAAGAUGGCUCGAAGCUCAUCAAAGAAGAAGAAAGGGAAACCGGACAGGUCAGCCUGGGAGUUUACAAACAGUACUGCACUGAGGCCUAUGGCUGGUGGGGAAUUGUCCUUGUUCUGUUCUUCUCUCUGACGUGGCAGGGUUCUCUAAUGGCCAGCGAUUACUGGCUUGCGUACGAAACAUCUGCCAAAAAUGCAAUUUCAUUUGAUGCUUCCGUUUUCAUUCUCGUAUACGUGAUUAUUGCACUUGUUUCCAUCAUUUUGGUGAGUCUCCGGUCAUACUACGUCACCCACUUGGGACUCAAGACGGCUCAGAUCUUUUUCCGACAGAUUCUUAACAGUAUCUUACACGCUCCCAUGUCAUUCUUUGACACCACACCAUCGGGAAGAAUUCUCAGUCGGGCAUCGACUGAUCAGACCAAUGUCGAUAUCCUUAUUCCGUUUAUGCUCGGACUUGUGGCCUCAAUGUACACCACUUUGCUUAGCAUUUUCAUAAUUACUUGCCAGUACGCUUGGCCAACUGCAUUCUUUGUGAUUCCCCUUGGCUGGCUUAACAUCUGGUACCGGAACUAUUACCUCGCUUCUUCCCGGGAAUUAACACGCUUGGACUCGAUCACUAAGGCUCCCAUCAUCCACCAUUUCUCAGAGAGUAUAGCUGGAGUGAUGACAAUCCGAUCAUUCAAGAAGCAGGAGUUGUUUAGGCAAGAAAAUGUGAAGCGUGUAAAUGCCAAUCUCAGGAUGGACUUCCACAACAAUGGCUCCAACGAAUGGCUCGGGUUUCGGCUAGAGCUGAUUGGGAGCUGGGUGCUCUGCAUCUCGGCUUUGUGUAUGGUAUUGUUACCCAGCAAUGUUAUCAGACCUGAGAAUGUAGGGCUGUCCCUUUCGUAUGGACUGUCCCUGAACUCGGUUCUGUUCUUUGCCAUAUACAUGAGCUGCUUUGUCGAGAACAAGAUGGUUUCUGUUGAAAGGAUCAAACAGUUCACUAAUAUUCCCUCUGAAUCCGAGUGGGAGAGAAAAGAAACCCUUCCACCUUCGAAUUGGCCCUUCCAUGGCGAUGUACAUCUCGAAGACCUCAAGGUGCGCUACAGACCAAACACUCCACUUGUGCUCAAAGGAAUCACUCUUGACAUCAAAGGAGGAGAGAAGGUUGGUGUGGUUGGACGAACGGGAAGCGGGAAAUCGACUUUGAUCCAAGUCUUGUUCAGGCUCGUAGAACCAUCAGGAGGGAAGAUUAUCAUAGACGGGAUUGAUAUAAGCACUCUAGGGCUACAUGAUCUCAGGUCAAGAUUCGGAAUCAUUCCGCAAGAACCUGUCCUCUUUGAAGGAACCGUGAGAAGCAACAUCGACCCAACGGAGCAAUACUCCGACGAAGAAAUCUGGAUGAGCCUCGAACGAUGCCAACUCAAGGAUGUUGUUGCUACCAAGCCUGAGAAGCUCGAUUCUUUGGUGGUUGAUAAUGGGGAGAACUGGAGCGUAGGGCAGAGGCAGCUUCUGUGUUUAGGCAGGGUUAUGUUAAAACGUAGCAGACUUCUCUUCCUAGACGAAGCAACCGCAUCCGUUGAUUCCCAAACCGAUGCCGUGAUUCAGAAGAUCAUUAGAGAAGACUUCGCGUCUUGCACCAUAAUCAGCAUCGCCCACCGGAUUCCUACUGUGAUGGACGGCGAUCGAGUCCUGGUCAUUGAUGCUGGAAAAGCGAAAGAGUUCGAUAGCCCCGCUCGUUUGCUGGAGAGACAGUCUCUGUUUGCCGCGCUAGUGCAAGAAUACGCUCUCCGAUCUGCCGGAAUAUGAAACUUUUACGCCGGCCGGGACUGAAAAUAUCUCAAAACCUUCACAUGAGAAUUGUAUUAAGGGAAGGAAAAUCUUGUAAUCGACUCAAAAUGUUUUAGAUUAAAACGACAUCGUUGUUUCAGGGCAGCAACACAAUAAAUUUUUUAACUCGCUAA